rnacentral:rRNA from 1 species
AUUGAACGCUGGCGGCAGGCCUAACACAUGCAAGUCGGACGGUAGCACAGAGGAGCUUGCUCCUUGGGUGACGAGUGGCGGACGGGUGAGUAAUGUCUGGGGAUCUGCCCGAUAGAGGGGGAUAACCAAUGGAAACGGUGGCUAAUACCUCAUAACGUCGCAAGACCAAAGAGGGGGACCUGCGGGCCCCUCACGAGCCGAUCAACCCGGAUGGGAUUAGCUAGUAGGCGGGGUAAUGGCCCACCUAGGCGACGAUCCCUAGCUGGUCUGAGAGGAUGACCAGCCACACUGGAACUGAGACACGGUCCAGACUCCUACGGGAGGCAGCAGUGGGGAAUAUUGCACAAUGGGCGCAAGCCUGAUGCAGCCAUGCCGCGUGUAUGAAGAAGGCCUUCGGGUUGUAAAGUACUUUCAGCGGGGAGGAAGGCGGUGAGGUUAAUAACCUCGCCGAUUGACGUUACCCGCAGAAGAAGCACCGGCUAACUCCGUGCCAGCCGCCGCGGUAA